ensembl:snRNA U6 U6 spliceosomal RNA
GUGCUUGUUCCAUCAGCACAUACACUAAAAUCAGAAUGAUAAAGACAAGAAUAGUAUGCCCCUUGAGAAAGGAUGAUGCAGAUUUUAUCAAGCAUUCCACAUUUAA